rnacentral:rRNA from 1 species
GACGAACGCUGGCGGCGUGCUUAACACAUGCAAGUCGAACGGAAAGGCCUUUUCGGAGGUACUCGAGUGGCGAACGGGUGAGUAACACGUGGGUGAUCUGCCCUGCACUCUGGGAUAAGCCUGGGAAACUGGGUCUAAUACCGGAUAGGACCGCACUUUAGUGUGUGUGGUGGAAAGUUUUUUCGGUGUAGGAUGAGCCCGCGGCCUAUCAGCUUGUUGGUGGGGUAAUGGCCUACCAAGGCGGCGACGGGUAGCCGGACUGAGAGGUUGGUCGGCCACAUUGGGACUGAGAUACGGCCCAGACUCCUACGGGAGGCAGCAGGGGGGAAUAUUGCACAAUGGGCGCAAGCCUGAUGCAGCGACGCCGCGUGGGGGAUGACGGCCUUCGGGUUGGAAACUCCUUUCGCCAGGGACGAAGCGUUUUGUGACGGUACCUGGAGAAGAAGCACCGGCUAACUACGUG